rnacentral:rRNA from 1 species
CCUACGGGUGGCAGCAGUGGGGAAUAUUGGACAAUGGGGGAAACCCUGAAGCAGCAACGCCGCGUGAGUGAUGACGGCCCUCGGGUUGGUAAGCCCUGUCUUCAGGGACGAUAAUGACGGCACCUGAGGAGGAAGGCACGGCUAAGUACUGGCCAGCAGCCGCGGUACUGCGUAGGGGGCGAGCGUUGUCCGGAUGUACUGGGCGUAAAGGGAGCGUAGGCGGACUUUUAAGUGAGAUGUGAAAUACUCGGGCUCAACUUGAGUGCUGCAUUUCAAACUGGAAGUCUAGAGUGCAGGAGAGGAGAAUGGAAUUCCUAGUGUAGCGGUGAAAUGCGUAGAGAUUAGGAAGAACACCAGUGGCGAAGGCGAUUCUCUGGACUGUAACUGACGCUGAGGCUCGAAAGCGUGGGGAGCAAACAGGAUUAGAUACCCCAGUAGUC